rnacentral:lncRNA from 1 species
UGCAAUUUUCCUCUUGCCUCAUAUUAAAUGGUUUCUUGCGCCUGAUUUGCCUCUACUGUUACUCAGAUUCUGCAUUUUAUUUUGUUAACAACAUUUAACAGCUAGUAAAGCUCUGCGAACAUCAGAGGACACAACAAGGAGACAUACGUCAUGGAAAAGUCCAUCUGCUAUUAAUAAUCUUCGAACACUGAAGAUAAUUCCUAUGCAUAUCUUGGACUGUCAGGAUUAUUUAAUUUAUGCAAAAAAUGAAGAUUUUAAUCCUGAGCACAUCAUUAGGCGAC